GCCAUUCCUGUUAUUCUCUGCUGUGCCUUACCCUAAUCUGCUAAUUGGAAUGGAUUACGGAAAGAAAAAAGUAUAAAGAGAAAAAUGAAACAACAGAAGGAAAGGUGCAAAUCGAGAAACUGGAAGGGCUUAUCUGGCACAAUCACAUGGAUCUACCGUAAGAGCUUGAUCAGCCGUUCUGAUGUCUGCACACACUGGGAACAGAUAGGGUGUUAACAUUUCCUGGAACAAUGCUUUACCAAUGGGCAGGAACUAGUAGGUUGAAUAAAGAAGUGAAUAUUGAAGAAACAAAGCUUAAGAACAGAAGAACAAAUAAAGAAAGAAGUUUCCUUUAUGGCAUUGUAGGAACUGUGCUGGGCAUUGGUCAUGAUGGAAUCCUGAAAUGAAAACACAUUUCUCAAGAUUUCUCCCAACAAAAGAACUGCUGGAUCAAGGGAC